UCCGUAGAUAAGUAAUUAUAUUCUUACUUACAGUGUGACCAAGAAAGCUUUGAGAAUCUUUUUUGGUUCGGUCUAUAGUCCUCUCAAAAAUUUCAAUAUCGUUUAAAUAAUUUUUUUCGUUUAUAACAAAAAAUACACAUUAAAUUACAAAUAAUUUUAAAAACUACAUUAUGCUAAAUGAGGAACAUAUUUUACUUUGGGAUACGUGGUCCUGGUCACUAGUGUCACCAUGCGCUAUCACAUGCGUGUCACC
rnacentral:lncRNA from 1 species